rnacentral:rRNA from 1 species
UACGUAGGGGGCUAGCGUUGUCCGGAAUCAUUGGGCGUAAAGAGCGUGUAGGCGGCCUGGCAAGUCCGCUGUGAAAGUCAAAGGCUCAACCUUUGAAUGUCAGUGGAUACUGCCGGGCUAGAGUCCGGAAGAGGCGAGUGGAACUCCUGGUGUAGCGGUGGAAUGCGCAGAUAUCAGGAAGAACACCAACGGCGAAGGCAGCUCGCUGGGACGGUACUGACGCUGAGACGCGAAAGCGUGGGGAGCGAACAGG